GUUCCCGGCAAAGUGGCGAGCGAGGGAGCACUGUGCACCGACUUCUAGUCUGGGAAGGAGCGGGGCCGGGACCCUGAGGAGCGAGAAAGGGGGCAGAGGGAAGCAGAUGGAGAUAUCCUUCUCAGGGAUCUGGGCUGAGAGGGUCUGCACCACGGCGGUCUGCGUCUCCCUGGGCAGACACCUGGUCCCUUGCUGCUCCGCUGUCCUGCUCCAGGGGCAAAAGUGAAGGAAACAGGACUGACAAGGCAGAAAAGGCAGGAUGCGCAUCCCAGCUCUCAGAGGAUUUGUCUGGACCAUACAUAUGCUGGGACAGUUCUUUCUGGUGCCAUAAUUAAUGUGUCUCCUCCAAGAGAUCCCUGCAGAGAUCAUCUGACCCAUGAAGGCAGCAAGAGAUGGAAACCAUAGAGAUCCCAGACACUCUAACGUUCAUGGAUGAAGAAAGCAGAGAGCAUGGGCAUGAAAUAAGCCUGACCACAAACAAUGUUGAUGAUUUCCAGACCAUAAAGUGCCUCUCAGAAUACAGUGUGGUCUCCAUGUGUGAAGAAAUAACAGACAAAGCUAGCAGGACUUGGUGGGGGAAAAAAUCAGAGUAACAGAUGCGAAAUGGGAAUUAGAGAAGAGAUCCCAGGUUCUGGCUUAGGGUACCUUGUGUCCCCUUUUUAAUCCACAAGAUAAUAAAAGUUCUGAAUAUCUAUCGCCUUGGCUAGGUUAGUUAUGGAGUUUGAAAUAAUGUCCUGGGGCUGCUAUAACAGUGUAACCCACCCCAGAGGCUUAGGAAGCAAAACACAUCCUCCCACCAUUCUGGAGGUUAGAAGUCCAAACUCAAGGCAUCAAUGAGGCCAUGUUCUUUGUGGGUUCUCAGGGAGAUCUCCCUGCCUCCUCUAGUCUCUGGCAACCCUUGAACGCUCCUCGGCUUGUAGCAGCAGCAGCAUCUGGUCCCUGGUUGUCCCACGGGUCUCCUCUUUUGAGGGGUAUCUUGGUGUUAAACUUGUAUCGCUCUAAGCAGGCUUUCUUUCUCUUAAAACAAUGUAGUAAAAUUGCACAAUACAAAACAUGGUAUCACAGCCACUUUGAGUGUGAAACUCGGGAGUAUUUAGUUCAUCCACUCCAUCUUGCAACCAAUCUCCAGAAUCUUCUUCAUGCAACACAACCAAAAGUUUCUGGCCCUAAACCACACCACCUCCACAUUUCUCCCCGCUCCCAUAGCCUCGGCAAUCACCAUUUCACUUCGGGUGGCUCUCGGUCGACUGCUGUAGGCACCGGACAUCAGUGGAAGCAUACAGUACCUGCCUCUUCGUCAGUGGAUCAUUCAUGUGAGGCAGAUAUUGUAAAGUUGUUGCUUUUCUUUUUACUUUUAAAGGCGAAAUAAUGUUCCUUUUCAUACAAAUUCCAGCUUGUUUAUCCACCCCUCAGUAAUCACAUGAGUUGUCCUGUGUUAUGACAGCUGUAAACAAUUCUGCUGUGAGCAUAGGAGCCCAGUGUCUUUCCGUCUUAGACACUUGUUCUUCAUUUGUUUCUUUUUCCUCCAUCAAUCAACUUAAGUAACUUGUGGCAUUCUGAAAGUUUGUUCCCGUAAUGUACGUUCCCUAAUAAAUUGGCACCAUGUUAUUGCCAGGCCUAGUGGUGCAUGCCUUUAAUCCCAGCACUUGGGAGGCAGAGGCAGGUGGAUUUCUGUGAGUUCAAGGCCAACCUGGUCUACGCAAUGAGACCCUUGUCUCAAAACAAGUUACUUAUAAUCUUAAGUUCCAUGGAGUUGGUAGUGAUGUCGAUGCUUUCUUUUGUGUUUGUUUUAGUUUGUUGUUGUUGUUUUGCUUUGUUUUGUCUUGGUUUGGUUUUUGUG